GGGAUAAUGACUCCUCUGCGCAUUGUGAUUGUUGUCAGUGGCUUGCUUGUAAUUAUCGCUGCUGCUCCUAUCAUCUACAAGAUAACCACUUCUUCAUCCAACACAGAGACUGCAAAUGUCUUUGAAAUGCUGAGCCCGAUCACCAGACACGAGUCAGUAUUCGAAAGCACCUAAUUAAAGCAAAACCAACGAGGGAACAGCAAAGAAUGGUGACUUUGCCUGGAAUUAUACCUUGAAGAUAUUUGGGAAUUACAGAAAUGUUUGAUUUCUUGGCACAUUUUUAUUAUGUUGA